rnacentral:rRNA from 1 species
UACAGAGGGGGCAAGCGUUGUUCGGAAUUACUGGGCGUAAAGGGCGCGUAGGCGGCCUGCUAAGUCGAACGUGAAAUCCCCGGGCUCAACCCGGGAACUGCGUCCGAUACUGGCAGGCUUGAAUCCGGGAGAGGGAUGCGGAAUUCCAGGUGUAGCGGUGAAAUGCGUAGAUAUCUGGAGGAACACCGGUGGCGAAGGCGGCAUCCUGGACCGGCAUUGACGCUGAGGAGCGAAAGCCAGGGGAGCAAACGGG